UACAGAGGUCUCAAGCGUUGUUCGGAUUCAUUGGGCGUAAAGGGCGCGUAGGCUGCGGGGCAAGUCGGGUGUGAAAUCUCAGAGCUCAACUCUGAAACUGCACUCGAUACUGCUUUGCUCGAGGACUGGAGAGGAGAUUGGAAUUCACGGUGUAGCAGUGAAAAUGCGUAGAUAUCGUGAGGAAGACCAGUGGCGAAGGCGGAUCUCUGGACAGUUCCUGACGCUGAGGCGCGAAGGCCAGGGGGAGCAAAACGGGG
rnacentral:rRNA from 1 species